rnacentral:rRNA from 1 species
AAAUUGAAGAGUUUGAUCAUGGCUCAGAUUGAACGCUGGCGGCAGGCCUAACACAUGCAAGUCGAACGGUAACAGGAAGCAGCUUGCUGCUUUGCUGACGAGUGGCGGACGGGUGAGUAAUGUCUGGGAAACUGCCUGAUGGAGGGGGAUAACUACUGGAAACGGUAGCUAAUACCUCAUAACGUCGCAAGACCAAAGAGGGG